GGGCCUGUAGUAUAGUGGUAGAAUAGACCCUUGGCUGGGGUCAGACCCGAGUUCGACUCUCGGCAGGUCCA
rnacentral:tRNA from 1 species